CGUUAUGGUAGGGCAGAAGAGGGACGCCUUGUGCGUGCUGGAGUCUAACCAGUCUGUCAACCCUCUUGUGCUCUGCUACCAUU
rnacentral:antisense_RNA from 1 species